UACGUAGGGUGCGAGCGUUAUCCGGAAUUAUUGGGCGUAAAGAGCUCGUAGGCGGUGUGUCACGUCGGCCGUGAAAACCUGCAGCUUAACUGUGGGCGUGCGGUCGAUACGGGCAUCACUGGAGUUCGGCAGGGGAGACUGGAAUUCCUGGUGUAGCGGUGAAAUGCGCAGAUAUCAGGAGGAACACCGGUGGCGAAGGCGGGUCUCUGGGCCGAUACUGACGCUGAGGAGCGAAAGCGUGGGGAGCAAACAGG
rnacentral:rRNA from 1 species